rnacentral:rRNA from 1 species
AUGCACGCUGGCGGCGUGCCUAAUACAUGCAAGUCGAGCGAACAGACGAGGAGCUUGCUCCUCUGACGUUAGCGGCGGACGGGUGAGUAACACGUGGAUAACCUACCUUUAAGACUGGGAUAACUUCGGGAAACCGGAGCUAAUACCGGAUAAUAUAUUGAACCGCAUGGUUCAAUAGUGAAAGACGGUUUUGCUGUCACUUAUAGAUGGAUCCGCGCCGCAUUAGCUAGUUGGUAAGGUAACGGCUUACCAAGGCAACGAUGCGUAGCCGACCUGAGAGGGUGAUCGGCCACACUGGAACUGAGACACGGUCCAGACUCCUACGGGAGGCAGCAGUAGGGAAUCUUCCGCAAUGGGCGAAAGCCUGACGGAGCAACGCCGCGUGAGUGAUGAAGGUCUUCGGAUCGUAAAACUCUGUUAUUAGGGAAGAACAAAUGUGUAAGUAACUAUGCACGUCUUGACGGUACCUAAUCAGAAAGCCACGGCUAACUACGUG